GAGACCUACCAAGAAUAAAGUGGUUGAUGUUAAUGAUCAACUACAACAAAGUGGGGAGCCCAGGCAGUGGUCAGAGUG
rfam:Callithrix jacchus chromosome 16, whole genome shotgun sequence